UUUUUGUUUAUUUGUUCCCAGAUCUCCAUCUCAGAUUAGAUCGAUCUAUAGUUGUUGUCUUCCUCUUUCGGUGAGCUCCUCUCUCUCUCUCUUUCUCUCUCUCUCUCUCUUUCUAACACUCUGAAAUAGGUUUAAUCUCUAACACUCUGAAAUAGGUUCCCAGAUCAUCCAUCGCAGAUUAGAUCGAUUGUUCAUGUCAUCUACAAUGGAUUCAGUGAAUGUUUACAGGAAUGGAGUUGCUAUUGGAAUGGAAAUGCUAGUGGCAUAGGAUGUUUAUAGGUUUUCAGUUUAUGGAAAUGCUAGUGGAAUAGAAUGGAAAUGCUAGUGAAAUGAAAGUUUAAUUUGGAAUGGUUUACAGUUUAUAAUUUGAAAUGAAAAUGUAAUGUCUAUAUUUUUUUUGUUAUUUAAUUAUUUAAAUCCGUGGUCCUAAUGUGCUCAACAUAUCAUUAAAUAUGGGAGUAACAAGGACAAUCCUCUUUGGUAGCUUUUUCCUUUGUUUAGAAAUUAGUAAAGCAUAAGACUUAAAAUCAACAAUAAUGAUUAUUAUAAUCACUGUGUAUUUGUAAUAAUAUGAUUUUACUGACAUAAUGCACCCAAGUUGGUCUAAGACUAUGAGAACUGAGAAGAUGAUUGUCAAUUGAUGUAUUUCAAUCAUUAGAAUUCUGUUAGGACUUGUGAUUGCUUUAGUUGUAUGUAUUGCUGUUUUCUAUUUUAAAUUUUUUUUUUUAUAUAUAGAAUUUUAGGGAUAAACUCUUGGGCUGAAGUUUUUACUAUAUGGGCUAGGGUAGUUUCAUAUGGUAACUACGUAUUAUUAGGGCCUCUUACGAGAAAAUGAGAUGAUGCCUUUGAAAAGGAAUUAAAAUUGAAAUAUUUGGAAGAGAUGCGCUCUUCUUCUCUCUGCUUCUUGGCUUUUUUUCUUCUAUGUUAAAUUAAAUCUCUUUACUCUCUUUCUUCUCAUAUUUUUAUCUUCUCUUCCUCCCUCAUCUCUUAUUUGUAUCUUCUCUCUGUCCCAGGCUGUCUUUUGGGUUUCCAAGUCUGAGAAGUUGAAGGUAUUUUAAAAUGGUUUUUGGUUCAAGCUUCCUACCCAUGACCGACCGUGAACUUGUUAAAACAAUAGAUUUACACCCACAACCGAACCACAGCACAUGCAAAACUGUCCGUAGCUCGUCGGGUGGGUUCGGAUUGGACGGUUUGCCGGGUCUCCAGGUUAAAGAAGAACAAGUGCAACUUCAAAUGCAAUGGUAAAACCUUAGAAUGGCAGUGCUGCUCCAAAGUCACGCAUUCCUCAAAUGGUUGCUCAAACACUGGGUUUUGGCCAAAACCUGCUGCUGCUGGUGAUAGUAAUUGCACCCCCCAAC